rnacentral:rRNA from 1 species
GAUGAACGCUGGCGGCGUGCCUAAUACAUGCAAGUCGAGCGAACAGACGAGGAGCUUGCUCCUCUGACGUUAGCGGCGGACGGGUGAGUAACACGUGGAUAACCUACCUAUAAGACUGGGAUAACUACGGGAAACCGGAGCUAAUACCGGAUAAUAUAUUGAACCGCAUGGUUCAAUAGUGAAAGACGGUUUUGCUGUCGCUUAUAGAUGAAUCCGCGCCGCAUUAGCUAGUUGGUACGGUAACGGCUUACCAAGGCAACGAUGCGUAGCCGACCUGAGAGGGUGAUCGCCCACACUGGAACUGAGACACGGUCCAGACUCCUACGGGAGGCAGCAGUAGGGAAUCUUCCGCGAUGGGCGAAUGCCUGACGGAGCAACGCCGCGUGAGUGAUGAAGGUCUUCGGCUCGUAAAGCGCUGUUAUUAGGGAAGAACAAAUGUGUAAUUAACUAUGCUCGUAUUGACGGUACCUAAUCAGAAAGCCACGGCUAACUACGUG